CUGGCUCCCUGCGCAAGUGCGUGCCUCUCCCUCUUAUCUCCCAACAAAGCUCUGAGAGGCAAGGAUUGAGGCCAGCGAUGUUAAACAAUGAUGCAUGGCUGAUUUUAUUUGUGCUGCUCCGGUCGGCGGCUUGUCCACAUGACACAAACCACUCCAGAGAGACACGCACACUGCACUGCUGUAAUGAUGGACCCCGGGACACUGUCCUUCCAUGUCUCCUGCAUUAAUCCCUGACCUUCGAAUCUCGGCAGCAUAAUCCCCAUUUAGCAUUAGUAGCAACGGCUUCCACUGUGAGGAACUCUUUUUUGAUAAGUAAGCACUGAUUCGGGCAUCGCUUUUAAACAGCAUAUUCCCAGCUCAGCAAGAAACCCACACUCCUGAAUGAACCGGAGCACAUUACUGAGAAAAAGUUCAUUAACCUUGCUAGAUUUGAAGGUUAACAGGAUAGCUGAAGAAAGGAACUGAGUGAACAGCUCGAAUACAAAACAAAUUAAAAUGAAUGUCAUCAUUCCUUUUGAUAUUCAUUAGUUGAUUCAGAGGGAGAAUGCUCUUCUUAAAUUUGCAAAGCAUUUAUCUGUGAAAAACAGGUGUACAUCUGCUGCUCGAAUGCGUCUUAAGCGCGUGAGAGAAGAAUAAUGUAGACACUCACCCGUUCCGCUGAGGGAGUAGCUGGGAGAGGGAGAAAAGACUU
rnacentral:lncRNA from 1 species